rnacentral:rRNA from 1 species
GACGAAGGGGGCUAGCGUUGUUCGGAAUUACUGGGCGUAAAGCGCGUGUAGGCGGUUGCCAUAGGCAGGGGUGAAAGCCUUGAGCUCAACUCAAGAAAUGCACUUGAUACUGGGCGACUAGAGGACCGGAGAGGAUAGUGGAAUUCCCAGUGUAGUGGUGAAAUACGUAGAGAUUGGGAAGAACACCAGUGGCGAAGGCGGCUAUCUGGACGGUUUCUGACGCUAAGACGCGAAAGCGUGGGGAGCAAACAGG